rnacentral:rRNA from 1 species
UACGGAGGGUGCAAGCGUUAUCCGGAUUCACUGGGUUUAAAGGGUGCGUAGGCGGGUUGGUAAGUCCGUGGUGAAAUCUCCGAGCUUAACUCGGAAACUGCCGUGGAUACUAUCAAUCUUGAAUAUCGUGGAGGUAAGCGGAAUAUGUCAUGUAGCGGUGAAAUGCUUAGAUAUGACAUAGAACACCAAUUGCGUAGGCAGCUUACUAGACGAUCAUUGACGCUGAGGCACGAAAGCGUGGGGAGCAAACAGG